GAAACNCAAAANACGAAUGAGGAGAUCACGUCAGCUCAUUAGUAUAUAUAUGUGUUAUGAUAUGAGUUAUCCUUGUGAUGCUUGUACGUGCAUGUAUAUUUUAUUGCUUAAUGUUGUCGGCGUGCAUUUCUCUUCUAGUAGAACGUCGCGACCCGUUGGGUGUCGAUCUAUGGCCCAAAUGGGCAGCCUUUAAUUUUUUUUUAUAAAAAUUAAAGACCAUUGGUGUUCCUGAUCGACUGCUCGGCGGUAUCCGCACGAUAUUGAGUCGCAAAUUAUUUUUGCGUCAAGCCCAUCACAAGCGCGGUCAGUUAUUUAAUUUCCAGUAGUGCGGAUUUUAUGCCGUCACUGGAGCUGACCAGCUGUUGGUUGUAUGGUGUUCUUUGACUGGCUCGAAAUUUAAAUUAUCGGUCAGCGACGCUACUGCUUUGGGUACUUUCAGGACCCGUCUUGAAACACGGACCAAGGAGUCUAACAUGUGCGCGAGUCAUUGGGAUUUAUUUUUUAAAUUAAACCUAAAGGCGCAAUGAAAGUAAAGGCCAUCUUUAUGAUGACUAAGGGAGGAUGAGUUGCAUUACGAUGUCAGCUCCGCACUCCCCGGGGGUCUCAUUCUCAUUAUGAGAAGAGGCGCACCUAG
rnacentral:rRNA from 1 species